UUAAAUUUGCACAUAGACUGUCAGUGACUGAGGAUGACCCAAAUUGCAACUUCCUGUUUUAAUGUUGCAAAUGUUGCCUAUGCCUGAUGGUGUGUCAAAUACCCAAAGCUUGCAUGGAGGGACCUAACAAUGGACCUUUUCACAGCUGUGUUUCCAGAAUCUUUAUUGACUUUACUUCAUAGUAUACAAUAAGAUGAAAACAAAACGCAAACCGCCUGAUUUCCAAGAGCUUAUUUAAAACCAAAACCACCAUGUGAGACUUAGUAUAGUACACAUUAGAUAUGGAUGACAUUUCUGCAGUAAGUCAUUGUAAGUCUAGUAAAUAUCCAGAUGAUAACAUCUAUUUAAGAACAGCACUGAUAAUUAUAUACGAGGAGGUCAUGUUAAGUAUUCCACAACAAAUUAAAGAGAUGAUGUCCAUGAAGUUAUCUAUGUUACUCUAUAUAACAGAUGGAAAAAGCUUGGGUAAUAUUCAGUGCGGAUACUGACUUGUGUUCCUGACUCAUAGGCAGUGCUCAGACACAUUUAACCCACUGUCUGACAGAAUGAAUGAACGUGUGCUGUAAGUGAACCCGUUCUGGGCAUGAGGUUAAUUAUUUUCUAUGAGAGUACAUUAAAUCAUUUUCUUUUCCAAGGGUAAAUGAAGCCUUCAAUUUGAUUGAAUAAAAUACAAGAUGUGCACCACCAUGCCCGGCUAAUUUGUUUAUUUUUGUACAGGCAGGGUUUCACCAUGUUGCCCAGGCUGGUAUGGGACUCCUGAGUUCAAGCCACCCACCUGCCUUGGCCUCCCAAAGUGCUAGGAUUACAGGUGCGACCCACUGCACCUGUCCUAAAAGACAGAUUUUGCUUAAUUUCUACACUUGAUGUUCUGGUACAGACAUUUGCUUGGAAAUACAGUAUAGUUAGCGGAAGCCUUUUCAUGGGGAAAUAAGAUAUCAGUAAGUAUUCCAGGAUUUUAAACUAGAAUACAAAAGAAGAAAAUAUUUAAAAUAAACUAUAGGGUAAUAUAAAAUGUAUUUACAUCCUUACAUUUAACUGCUUAUUUUACAAGCAAUAAGUUAUCAUUCACCAAUUAAUAAUUUAUGUCAAGUUCACCUGUAUUAAUACACAUAAACUUCUAUGAAGUUCCAUAAUGCCAAAUAAAAAAGGAACAUUUAGGUUUAACAUGUUAUUUUAUAUAGGCAUAACGCAACACCAGCAUUACAGGAUUGCAUUUACAAAUUCUCUUGACUCUAAGCAUGAAAUUAUGUUAAAAGACUAAGGCAAUUUAACUGUUUUUGGGUUUUUUUAUAUUAAGGAAACCUAAAUUUGUAUGAGUGAAUUAAAUUGAAUUACAUUUUCUUAUAGGCAUAUCAGUUUACCCUUUGUUAAAAUAACACGCACUGCCCUACAAAAUGAAUGCCGUAGUCACAAUCAUGUUUCUGCCACAAUCUUAAAGAUUUGGGGAAACAACUACAAUCUAAAAUCAGAGACUCCAUGUCCAAUGCCAAAGGUACACACCUCUAUUUUUCCCCAAUAAGCUUCUUGGAAAAGUCUUUGAAUUACACGUUAAAGUGCACUUCAAGGAAAUGUGAUGUUUUCGUUUAUAGCUGGUGAACAGCAUGCAAUUUGACAGCACUGUCACUAACAAUCAGAGACUGCUCUGGAUCUAAGUACUAAAAAUGACCCACACUGCAAUCACAAGAUAUUUGGAAGUGGGAAUUUAUUGAACAAAGUUAGGCCGGGAGUCUAAAGCAGCACUUGCUUCUUUUGCUCCAAGACGACGACGUUUAACAUUAGCAUCACUAUUGUUUCUUUUUCCCUCAACUCUUCUCCCACACUGCCUUCUUCUCCCCCACCACCUUCUCCCAUCGUCUUUCCCCGCUUCCCUUCUCCCUCCCUCCGCUCCCCCUUCUUCUCCCAGCACUCUUCUCAGCCCGUCUUUCUGCCUUUUUCUUCCCCUCCCCACCUCGUUCCCUGCCUCAUCCUCUUCUCUCCCACCCAUCUUUUUCCCCUCUCCAUCUCUUUCCCCAAGGUCGUCUUCGCCGCUUUCCCCUCCCUUCUUCUUCCCCCCAACCCUCUUCCCUCCUCCCUCCCCAUCCUUUUCUUCCCUUCACCCCUUUUCCAGUCUUCUUCCCCACCUUCUGCCCUUUCCCUCCCCUCUCCUUCCCUCCCCUCUCCUUCCCGACCCUUCUCCUUUCCCAACGUCUUCCCACCUUUUUCUCCCCUCUCCGUCUUCUCCCCUCCUUCUUCCCCACUGCGGUCUUCCCGCAUCCUCUUCUGCCGUCUCCCUACUGUCUUCUUCCCGCACCUUCUUCUCCCCCGCAGUUUUUUUUCCCCUUCCCCACCGUUUUCUUCCCCUCAGUCUCUCCCAUUCCUCGCAGCACGGGUUCCUGUGGCGGCAGCUUUUCCUUCCAUCUCCUUCUCUCCACCCGCUGGCUUCCAGUCUCCACCUUCCCGCCUAUUCCCCCAGCAGCGUCUUCCCGCCGCUCCCUCUUCUCCCCUCCCCCUCCUCACCGUCUUCUCCCGGCCUAUUACCGCCAACCGUUUUCUUCCUCACCCCGCACCCUUUUCUUCCCAUGUCUGCCUUAGUCUUCUUCCCACCCUCUUCUCCUCUCCCCAUCGCCUUCUUCCCACCCUCUUCUCCUCUCCCAAUCGUCGUCUUUCCCAGCCUCUUCUCCAUUUUCUUGCCGCCUCCAUAUCCCCACCUUCUCGCAGCAGCGUCUUCCUGCCGCGCUUUUCUCUCCCCUCACCAUCUUCUCUUCCUCUUCCCCACCGUCCUCUCCCCACGCCCUCUUCUCCUCACUGUCUUCUCCCCGCGCCUUCCCCACAACCGUUUUGUCCCCCGUUUUCUUCCCCUCACACCGUUUUCUUCCCAUGUCCUCCCACCGUCUCGCAGCAGCGUCUGUCAGUCGCAAUCUUCUUCCCACUUUCUUCUCUCCCCCUCCCAUCGUCUUUUUUCCCCAGCCUCUUAUUCUCCGCCAUCUUCUUCCCCUCCCCACCUUCUCGCAGCAGCGACUUCCUGCCGCGUUUUUCUCUCCCCGCACCCUCUUCUCCCCUCUUCCACUCCCCACCGUCUUCGCCCCCGAUCGUCUUCUUGCCCACCCCCUUCUCGCGCUCUCCAACUGCCUUUCACCUAGAAGCGCUCCACGCGUGCGCCCGCCUGUGUCCCUGCGCCUGGUGUGUCUGUGCGCCCAGCCAGCCCCAUGAGCUGGGCCCCUGAGCUCCGCCCCAACAGCCAACAGGAGACCCAGGAGAGUCGCUGCCAGGGCCAUCACGGCUGCCGCCGCCCCCGCCCCCGCCGCUACCUCAGAACUGAACAGUGUUGGCUGCGGGCGAAAGACAGUGGGGCCCGGAAGACUGCGGGGAGAGGGGGAGGAGGGGACGGAGAGGGUGGGAAAGACCUUGGAAAGUGGGAUGGGGAGAAAGGUGGGGAAGAAGACAGUGGGGAGAAAGUGCAGGGAGAAGACAGUGUGGUAGAGAAGACAGUGGAGGAAAACGGAAGGUCGUGGGAACAUACAGAGACCUACAGGGAAGACGGCCAUGGGACAAGGGAGGCAGAGUCUGGAGUUACGCUGCCUACAGUCACGGAAUGCCAAGGACAGCUGGAAACCACCAGAAGCUAAGAAGGAGAUUUUACCUGAAAGCCUCUCAAAGAAAUCAAUCAUACUCACACCUCCUUUUUGAAUUUCUGGCCUCGUGAAUGGUGAAAAAAUAAAUUUCUGUCGUCUUAAGCCCCACGGUUGAGACUGAGCUACAGUUAAUCUGUGGCAAGGUGCUGGAUGCACUGGACAAACACCUCAUUCCAGUAGCUGACACUGGCAAGUCCAAGGUUUUCUAUUAGGAAAUGUAGGUUCUAUACUAGAAAGGAAAAUGUAAGAUUAAAAGUUGGCCUUUUUAGAAUCAUGACUUUCUUCUAUGUAGGUUUCCAACUUUUAUUUAAAAAUAAUUGUUUAAUGUUAGAAGGAUAGUCAAUGUUGGGAUAAAAAGAUGGUCAGGCUAUUAUAAAAAAUGCAUUAGCUUUUGCUUUACCUAUUUAUAUUCUUUUGCUUUCAUGGGAC
rnacentral:lncRNA from 1 species